GACUACACCACCAACGCCAGAUCCAAGCCAUGUCUGUGACCUAUACCACAGCUCAUGGCAAUGCCGGAUCCUUAACCAAAAUCGAGGCCAGGGAUCAAACCCACAUCUUCAUGGAUACUAGCCAGGUUUGUUACUGCUGAGCCACAACAGGAACUCCUUCCCACCUUUUUUUUUUUCCCCCCUCAGGAACAGUCUCUAUAAUGUGACUUGACAGUUUGGAAAGUAUAAUUUUUUUUUUUUUAAUGUGAAAAUGGGGAAUCUGCUAGGCACUAAAAAGGUCACUUUUGAGAAGAAACAUUCUGUUUCAAGCUUAAUGAAAUUUAAUAAAUAUAGUCAUCUGUUUCCUUCCUUACCCCUCUAUCUUGUCUAGGCUCUUCGUGAACACUUUCUUAUUGGGUAAUUGUUGGAAGAGAGACAAUCAAAAUGAUUUUGCAAUUUCACCUUGGAAGUAUUUUGAUUUUCUUAGGCAAAGGUUCUUCAGCUAACAUAUUUAAGACAAUUAGUUUUCGUUGUAAUCCUACUUAUUAUAUUGUAUAUGCAUAUAAAAGCACUGUGGAGAAGUGAUUCAUAAACUUCAUAAGACUAUCAGAGAGUGCAUAGCAAAAAGAAAAAAAAAAAAGACAUGCACAUAUCUAAAUGGAGAUUUCCAGAAGGGCUCAGGAACAGAAUUUUCCCCUCAUCUGCGCUAGGAGAGGGCAGAUUUCUUACAUAGGCACAAAGAGCCACCACUCAUUGGCCUCAGUCUCCAAAAUGAAAAGGAAAAUAAAAUAUGUGCCUUACUUUUCUGAAUAAAUAUCUAAAUUUAACUAAAAUUUAAUAGCCAUUAGCUACUAAUGGGAUUUUGAUUGACUUUCAUAAAGCAUGUCAUUCAUUUUUCCAUAUAUCUCCCCCCCCCUUUUUUGACUCUUUGCCUUUUCUAGGGCCACACCCACGGCAUCUGGAGGUUCCCAGGCUAGGUGUCUAAUCAGAGCUGUAGCUGCCGGCCUACGCCAGAGCCACAGCAAUGCAGGAUCCGAGCCGUGUCUGCAACCUACACCACAGCUCACGGCAACACCGGAUCCUUAACCCAUUGAGCAAGGCCAGGGAUCGAACCUGCAACCUCAUGGUUCCUAGUCACAUUCCUUAGCCACUGAGCCACAAUGGGAACUCCUAUCCCCCCCUUUUAAAAGUCUUUGCUCCCUGGGCUUGGAGUUCAUUUUAUAGUUGCAAGUGAAUAGUCUUUCAGUCAAUGUGAAACAUGUUAUUUCAGGACAGUCUACAACAAAGGGAAAGCUUGACAUUCUUGUUUUAGAAACUCGGAUAUUGCCGAGCUGUCUUCUCUAACAGGAAGACAUCCAUUGGCCUUCCCUCAUCUUUUCAGAAGCGCUGAAGACAUACCACUUGCCAGGCAGCGUGAAGGCACUGGGGCCGUCAAGAUAAAUGUCCCCUGCCCUCGAAGAACUCUGUCCACCGAGGAGGAUGCUAGGGCUGAAGCUGCACCUGAGGCAUAUGGUUGAAUCAGAGCUGCAGCUGCCGGCCUACACCACAACCAGCCACAGCAAUGCAGGAUCCAAACUGUGUCUGUGACCUAUACCGCAGCUCAUGGCAAUGCUGGAUCCUCAACCCACUGCACUGGGCCAGGGAUCAAACCUGCAUCCUCAUGGAUACAAGUAGGGUUUGUAACCCGCUGAGCCACAACAGGAACUCUAAGAUUUGAAUUCUUGAUGCAGAGCUGGAGACGGUACAGGAAGAGAAGGCCUCUGUUUAGUUCUCUCCAGGUAGGCUCCUCAGCCUGGACCUGCAGCUCACUCCCGCCAGCCCACCACUUCAAAGUAGAACCAGUCCUUAUUUAAACGGCACUCAAGACUCUGAGUGGCUCCCUCGUUACACAGAAGAUUCUCUUCCAUCCAGUUUUGCUCUCUCUGUUUUCUAUCCAAAAGCUUCCUCUUUCAAGUGGGAUUCAUGUCAGAAUCAAAUGAGAAGCAAAUAGAAAAAUAAAGUUCAUAAGGCGCACAUGGGGGGAAAAAUCGCUGACUCUUUACAAAACAACUGGCACAGGUCAACGUGGUGAUCCUCUGUGUGCUCUAUCCAGGCGACCGACUAUCUAUCCAGGUAGAUGUCCUUCUGGCUCAGAACCACAAGCACCUGUCCCCUGAGAGGCUCGUCAUGAUGGUUCUGUAGAUCACUUAGCACAUUCUGAGUGCUCUGUGACUGUCGGGGAUAUGAGAUUACCUUCAGGGGAUGUCAUGCCAGAGGAAGGUGCCAGGCAAAUACUAGUAUUGUUAUUCUUUUAGCACAAAUUUAUAAUUGACUUUCUGUUAAACAUUGCAGCAAGUUAAAUUAAUUCAGUAUGAUUGCAGUCAUUAAACAAAUCCCUGGUAAUGACUGCUUUCUUAUUUUAGCAUUCCUCACAUCGCUGGGGUAAUACCAUAUAAGGCUAUUGCUCCAUUGUCAGAUUAAUUGGGAUGCGCAACCUGCCUUUUGCAAUAGAGCCUGCACACAGCUUUAUAGCAGCCGGACCAUGAUUUAAGGCUACUGCUGGACUAAUUUACCUUUGAGAUUUUCCCUAUUGCUCUUGCCAUUCCGUUAGGUACAAUUGACUAGUUCAUUACAGCGUACAAGUGGCUCAAGGCAAUUUUUUCCUGCUUAAAAAAAAAAAAAAAAAAGCAGUGUGCUUUUAAAACCAAAACGCAGGGAGGAACUCUCCCACCCUUCUUCUUUUGAUGCUGAAAUGCUGAAACUAACUCAAACAAUAGGAACAGUGAGUAGGUAUUCCCUUGAUUUCACAUUGGAACGGUCACCCCCCCACCCCCACCCCCACCCCAGAAUCACCUACCAUUUUAGCAAGCAGGAUAGAAAUAGUUAAGUCCUGAAGCCUGCGAGUUAAAAACUCUGCCUGAGAGACACACGAUGUGAAACGUUCCUGCCAGGUGUGGGGGUAGCACUGCCAGGUGGGGACGGUGAAUGGCGGGCCUCCUGAAGCUCGGCUUCACGGUCAAGGUCGUCUGACUGGUGCCACUUUAGAAACUGGCCCGCUUCUGUAGAGGACAUUGAACGAUCACCCCCUGCGAGUCAGCUGACUGCUGCAUCAUCGCCACUGCCCCAGCCCAGGCUCCUGCCGUUUCCUCAUCACAACGCACACCACUAAGCAAAAAGCGACAAGAGUUUGAAAGUGUUCUUUUCCUGCUGCUACUUGACAUGUCUUACAUGAGGAGUAUUUACCUUUGUUUAGCCAGGAGCAGAGAAGCAAUCUGAAGGUACAGGAUGGCUUCACACUUGGCAGCGUGAAUUUCCAGCAGAGCAGGUACUGCUCGGAGCCCGGUGGCCAGGCUGCCCCUGGUGCGGCGCGGCUGGGUCCCCGGCACUUGUGGGAAUAGUUUGCGGGCUUCUCAUACUGCGCCGCUCUAUCUGCAGGAAUAAAGGCUAGGACAAAGGAGAUGCUGCUUGCCACGGUUUGUCUGGCUGGGGCCUGGGCGGGCAACCUCCGCUGAACUGAUGCUGUGUGACUCGCCUAGCUUCCAGUUCAGGCUGGUCACGGGGCCAGGCACAGAUCCCCAUUCCUCAGUUAGAACAUGGUUUCAAAGGAGAAACCAGACUCACUGACCUAAAUCCUUCCCAGUCCUCUCUGGAUGCAGGGACAGCUGUCGACUAGCAGUGACACAACCAGCCAUCAAGUGGAGAAUCGUUGCGACUGCAGUCUGGGUGCAGGUGGAGCCUGGGAGAAUGGCAGUUUAAUUGCGGUCCUCUGAUGGCUUCUUCUUAUUUUCCUAAAUACUCGUGCUCGCUAAGUAUACGGUUGCCUGGAUUAGUCUGCCUUCCAUGCAGUCUUCAUCUGCGCUGGUUGGAAAUCAGAGAGCCAGGCAAGCCUGUUUACUGCUGGCUCUUUCCGGCGUGAUGUUAUGCAACUAGGAUGGGUCACACUGACAACAAAGAAGGAAGCAGAAAGCAUCACUUUAUCUUCUCUUGUGAUGUUAGCGGAACAUAACUGGUCUUCGCAAUGAUGCCCUCCUCUGUGGUGUGUGUGUGUGAGAGAGAGAGUGUGUGUGUGUUUAAUUUAUCUAAUCGAAGAGCCUAACAGAUAUCAUGGGUGUGUGUGUGUAUGUGUGUGUGUGUUUUAAUGAUUUGGAAAAAAAGGCAGCCAGCCUGUGGAGACAGCAAUUUGAGACAGCCGCACAUUUAGGUUAUGGCAAUUUGAAAUACUUUGGUUCGUGAAGCCGAGCCCUAAGGGACGAGCUGGGUAACCGAGAAAGAGAUUGUAGAUAAAGAAAUAAAAAUGACAAGCGUAAUGGAGGCUCAGCAGAGGGACUGUCAGAGCAUCAGUUCAUGGAUGGCAAUUUCGCCAGGCUGAGAUUGAAUAAUUCAUAGAUUGAAAUUACCCUGCUUUCACCUUUCCAUUUAAACCGGCAUGAUCUGAAUCUCUAAUAAAUUUUCAAGAUAAAGUAAAAUGCCAAUUUGAAUCUGAAGAGCUUUUAAAACCAGAUGCUGCGUCCCUGAAUCUUUUAGUAUCUUUCGCAAUUAUCCUAUGAGAACUGCUCUUCAUCACGAAGCACCAUUACCAGGGAAAAUUACUGUGAUUACAAUAGCAACAAUAGAAUACCAUCAAAUGAUUUCUAAUUUACCUAAUUUACUAAGACUGUGUGGUUUGAAUGCCCAUUGUGUGUCACCGUGCUUGGCACCCAUGGAUCUCUGUGCCACUGGAACAAAAGUGAGGCAGUAUGUGCACUACCUUAACUCCUGAAGCAAAGAACAUUCUUCUGGGUUACAAUGUCUUCUUCGUUGGGCUUGUGUGUGUGUGUGUGUGUGUGUGUGUGUGUGUGUGUGUGUGUGUGCAUGCGUGCGUGCAUGUGUUUCCAGUGCCUAUACACCAAACGCCUGUUCCCGGAAAUGGUGAGCCUGUUGUGGAUUUGGGCUUGAUUCUUGGGUAUAAGAGAAUAUAGACUUGUUAAUGUAUACACCCUUUUAAUUUUAAUGUAUACAAGCACGUGUUUGCCAGAAGGGAGGGGAGUUUAAAAAUGUAG
rnacentral:lncRNA from 1 species